rnacentral:lncRNA from 1 species
UUAAUAAUUGAAAAAAUGACCUCCACGCGCCCAACACUUUCGUAAAAAACACGCAUAUGACACAUCAAUAACGAGUGUUUACUUGAAAUACUUAACAGUCACUUGAAGUAUCUAAAUUCUAAAGGAGUCUAUUAAGGUGUUCAGCUGGUCGUUGACAAUAACUUCAAGGGGUUGUUUAUGUAUUAUGCCUUUUGUAGAAGAAAUGUUAUUUGAAA